rnacentral:rRNA from 1 species
AUACGGAAGGUCCGGGCGUUAUCCGGAUUUAUUGGGUUUAAAGGGAGCGCAGGCGGAGAUGCAAGCGUGACGUCAAAUUUCGGGGCUCAACCCCGUCUCGCGUCGCGAACUGCGUCCCUUGGUUGCGGGAAGGGGAGGCGGAACUCGUGGUGUAGCGGUGAAAGGCAUAGAUAUCACGAAGAACUCCGAUCGCGAAGGCAGCCUUCCGGCCCGUCAACGACGCUCAUGCUCGAAGGUGCGGGUAUCAAACAGGAUUAGAUACCCUGGUAGUCCGCACAGUAAACGAUGGACACCCGCGGUUUGGCCUGUAUGGCUGAGCCGCCAAGCGAAAGCGUUAAGUGUCCCACCUGGGGAGUACGCCGGCAACGGUGAAACUCAAAGGAAUUGACGGGG